UUAGCGGAAAUCCCGUCUCUGGACUGCAAGAGCUCCGGGUGAUCACCGAUUGUGUCUGUGAGUGCUGCGAUCAUGACAUCUGAAAAUAUAACAAGGUUCGAGCUAAAGUGAUGGGUGUACUCACAACGUAUGGAUGGCUGGUGGUCUCCACACAACUAUUCAGUUAUGGUUUUCUUGUCGACGUCAUCGGUCUACCUUUAACGUUUCUUCUGUAUGCUGUGGUAAAUUUAAUUGGAAUGAUAUUCUCUCUACUUUUUCCAGAGACUAAGGGACGAACCCCAGAAGAUAUUAGAAAUAUAUUUAUGCAUCAUAGUUCUCCGAAAAACUGAUACGAAAUAUAAGUCAAGGAAAUUUAGUACGCUAUUGAUGUUCGAGAAUUUUGUUAUUACAAGUAAACAUUUUUAAGUAUUU